rnacentral:rRNA from 1 species
ACUCCUACGGGAGGCAGCAGUGGGGAAUUUUGGACAAUGGGCGAAAGCCUGAUCCAGCAAUGCCGCGUGAGUGAAGAAGGCCUUCGGGUUGUAAAGCUCUUUGUCAGGGAAGAAACGGUGAGGGCUAAUAUCCCUUGCUAAUGACGGUACCUGAAGAAUAAGCACCGGCUAACUACGUGCCAGCAGCCGCGGUAAUACGUAGGGUGCAAGCGUUAAUCGGAAUUACUGGGCGUAAAGCGUGCGCAGGCGGUUUGUAAGUCUGAUGUGAAAUCCCCCGGGCUCAACCUGGGAAUUGCAUUGGAGACUGCAAGGCUAGAAUCUGGCAGAGGGGUAGAAUUCCACGUGUAGCAGUGAAAUGCGUAGAUAUGUGGAGGAACACCGAUGGCGAAGGCAGCCCCCUGGGUCAAGAUUGACGCUCAUGCACGAAAGCGUGGGAGCAAACAGGAUUAGAUACCCCUGGUAGCGACUGA